GUGGAAUGAAAAAACUAAAGAGACAACUGACUUACCACACAAAUGGACUAUGGUAGAAGCUGCUGUCCCUUAGUAUUGAAUAUCUCUAUUUUCUUUUAAUCAUAGAAUUCACUGAUAUUUUAGCAGAUAAUGUGGCCGUCCAGGCAGGCAUGAGAUUUCUCAGCCUUACUUCAACUUGAUUAUGACCAUGUGACCCAAUUCUGACAUUUGCCUAAAGGAAAAUUUACCUAAAAAGGCGUUUUCUUGCUAUGGCAGUGUAACCUGUACUAAUAAAUAUAGUGCUAGUCCUGCAUGCAACAAAAAUGAUGGUUUUAACCUGCCCAAAGGAUGGAAAAAGAAGAACAUAAGCAUAAUUUCUGAAUGCAUCACGGCAAAGAUGCAUGUACUCAUGAAGCAUAAAAUUAAAAAUAUGAUACAUUCACUACAUGAAAAUAUGAUAUACGGUUUUUCUUCAGUAUCCGCGGGAGAUUGGCUCGAGGAACCCCAUGGAUACCAACAUCCUUGAAUGCUCAAGUCCCUUAUAUAAAACGGCAUAGUAUUUGCAUAAAACCUAUACCAUUCUCCUGUAUACUCUAAGUCAUCUCUGCGUUACUUAUAAUACCUAAUACAGUGUAAACGCUGUGUAAACAGUUGUUAUACUAUAUUGGUUUUUUAAUUUGCAUUACUUUUGUAUUGUUGUAUUAUUUUAUUGUUUUUCCCCAAAUAGUUUUGAUCCGCAGAUGUAGAACCCACAGAUAUGAUAAAUCAACUGUAUCUAGUACCCAAAACAGAUGAGUAACUUAGAAAUUAAUAUGUAAUACAUACAGCUAAUGUUAUAGCUACUUAAGGAAUUCCUUUCACUGAAAAGAAACUCUUACAAAUCAAUGAGUCAACAACCCAAUGGAAAAAUGGCCAAAAGACAUGAAUAGAAGUUCACAGAAAAGAAUGAAAAUGACCAGUAAAUAAUGAAAAGAUGUUCUAAGACACUCUUAAUUAAAUAAAUUCACAAUAAAAUAAUCAUACUUUUAUCUAUCUACCAGAUUAGCAAAUGUUAAAAUAUUAAAAUGUUAGUGGUCAUCAAAAUGUAGGGUUACAGGUUCACCCAUACACUGUUAAUAGAUGUAUAAACUGGUCAAAACUUUUUGAUCCAUAGCACAGUAUUACUUUUGUAAACAUACACAAAAAAUAUUAUAUAUUUGCCAAACGUAUGUACUAAUCUAAAACCAAACACAUUAGACUAGGUACAUGUGGAGAAAGAGAUACAGGUGUUCCCUAGCAAGUUAAUAUGCUUGUGUCUCUUCAAACCAAUAUAUUGGCAUAUUUAUCUAAUAUUUAAUCAGAAGAAAGAAAGAACAGAAAGACCCAGGAAGCCUACUGUUAGUAGAGGUCAGCCUCAUCUUUUCUCUCUGAUUCAAGAAAUUCAUACUCAACUCAGUCAAACAGAGGUCCUGCAUUUACCUCUUGGUGCCGGAGAGCCUUGGUGAGCCAUUUAGAUCCUCUGUAUCUUCUCAAGCACAAUCCUCAGUGUUCUCUUCUCGUCUUAGAUAGCUCAUCAAAUAAUAUUUCCCACCACUUAUUUCUAGCAGUUCUGGUAAAGAGAAUGGCCUUCACAUUGUAUUUUGAACAAUGUUUUGGCCUCCAGUAAUGAUUAGGAACACACUAUAAACAUAAAACAUCAGUCCACUUAACUCAUUAUUCAGUCAUCAAGCAAUUCUUGUCCCAAUCAUUCUCCAAAGCUAUAUACUGUGAAUUUAUACUGUUGUGUAGUGACACAAGCCCUUCUGCUGAAAAAGUAGGUAGAUAAUUACUUUGAACUGAAAGAAAACACUUAUUUUAUUUUCUUUUAAACCUAAUUUAUUUUAAACCUAAUUUAUUUAUUUUAAACCUAAUUUAUUUUAAACCUAAUUUAUUUAUUUUAAACAUUUAUUUUAAACCUAAUUCAUUUGAACUGAACUUGAAUUUAAAAGCCUACAAAUGCCCCGCAUAUGUAGAAUUAUCAUUCAUUCCGUGUUCUUGCUCUUGGAUAAAACGGACAACUCAGAGAAAAAACUGGCUUAUAAAUGCACUUCACAAAAACUGUUAGAAAAGUAGCCAUUAAACCUGUAAAAAGGCCGGGCGCAGUGGCUGACGCCUGUAAUCCCAGCACUUUGAAAGGCCAAGGCGGUUGGAUCACGAGGCCAGGAGUCCGAGACCAGCCUGACCAACAUAGUGAAACCCCGUCUCUACUAAAAAUACAAAAAAUUAGCUGGGCGUAGUGGCGGGCGCCUGUAAUCCUAGCUACUCGGGAGGCUGAGGCAGGAGAAUCGCUUGAACCCGGGAGGCGGAGGUUGGAGCGAAAGUACGCGCCACUGUACUCCAGCCUGCGUGACGAUGAGAGUCUCCGUCUCGGGGGAAGAAAAAAAAAACCUGUAAAAAGUGGCUCAACUUUAAUAUUCAUUAGGAAAUGACUAAAAUCAAAUAUUUUACUUGGUAAUGCCAAGUAAAAAUACAGGAGAGGAUAUAGUGAAACUGGAGCUUACAUCCACUACUUGGGAAGUAUAAAUUGAUACAAUGGGUUUGAACAGUUUUUGUAUUUUCUACUAAAAUGAACAUACACAUAUCCUAUAAUCCAGAAAUCCCACUCCAUGGUGUGUACCCAACAAAAAUGCAUACAUGUGUGUACUAAAGGAUAUAAUAUGAUUUUUUUUUUUUUUUUUUUUUUUUUGAGAUAGGUUCUCACUCUGUUGCCCAGGCUGGAGUACAGUAGCGAUCUCUGCUCACUGCAAUCUCUGCCUCCUGGGUUCAAGCAAUCCUCCCACCUCAGUCUCCCCAGGAGCUGGGACUCUAGGUGCGUGCCACCACGCCCAGCUAAUUCUUUGUAGAGAUGGGGUUUUGCCAUGUUGUCCAGGCUGGUCUUGAACUCCUAGACUCAGGAAAUCCACCUGCCUUGGCCUCCCAAUAUGCUGGGAUUACAGGCAUGAGCCACCGCAUCUGGACACGAAUUUUUAAGUUUUAUAUAUGUGUGUGUAUAUAUAUAUAUAUAUAUAUAUAUAUAUAUAUAUUUUUUUUUUUUUUUUUUUUUUUUUUGCAUUGGCAAAAAAACAAAGAUAUUGUUUAGCAAUUUCCUUGUAUAAUGCAAUCAGUGGAAGACAAAUCAGAGGUAUUAUUUUCCCUUGGGCCUUUGCAGCCUGUGUUGUUUUUCUCUUUUUCAUAUUGAUGUGAAAAGCAGCCAAGUAUUAUUUGACAACAUCAGUCCCUUAUUAAGAUGUUAUUUCUAGUUUAUAAUUGACUAUGGCAUUUGCAUGCAUUUCAUCAUGUCUCCAUUUCUUCGGAAUGAUAAUUUCUAAUAUACUUUUCUUCUAUUAUAGGAAUAAGAAUUCAGUAGUCAUAUUUCCUGUUGCCUAUAAAAAAUUGAUGCUUUAAUUUAGUUAACAUGACAAACUCCAUCUUAUUUAGAGAGAUUAUUUUUGAUGUUAUUAUAAUAAAAAUGACACCUUUACUAAAAAUGUCUCAUCAUAAAUUGUUUUCCAUUAUUUCUGUGCUGAUUGCAAACAAUACUGAAUUAAAAUAUCCCUGCAAGUU
rnacentral:lncRNA from 1 species